AUUCCCAACAGAAUUUAGAGUGGUCAUACAGAAUGUGACAGAAGAUGAUUGUGGAGAGUACUACUGUGCAAUGAAAGAAAAACAACAGUUCCUGUUCAACAAUGGCAACAGACUCAUCACCAUUAAUGCUGGUUGCCGGUUUGUGUGAUCUUGUUGAUGGAACUCCAAGUCUCUUCACAGGAGAGAGUUGAAGGUUUUACAAGAGGGGAGGUUAUUUUACCAUGUAGGUACAAUGCAAUGCCUGCUGAAGAGGUCACCAUAUUUUGGCGAUAUAAGGAUGACCUUAAUGUCUACAAUAUUGUCAGUGGAAAAGCAGACAUGACAGACCAAGACCGUCAGUUCAGAAACAGAAUCAGGAUUUUCCCUGAGGAAUGGGCAAACGGCGACUUCUCUCUCCUACUGACUGAUCUCAAGGACUCUGAUAGUGGGAGUUAUUCAUGUUUCAUACCAACAAAGGACAUUCAUCAUCAAGUGGAACUUUCUGUUCAAGGCUUCCAUUACAACGAAGUGUAACAGACAAUUCAAAGAGAAUGGUCAUGAUUCAGCCUUUGCUUGUCUAAACAGUAUUGGACUUUCCAUUAACAGUUUUAAGAAGUUGUAUUCUUAAAAUAUUUGUAAGAAGUUGUAUUCUUAAAAAAUACAUAUUUGUAUUUUUUAGGGAUCUCCAUUAGCUACUGCAAAGGCAGCAGCUACGCUUUGUUAGAGGUUCACCUAGGGGUCAUGAUUGGGGCUGUACCAAAUGAUUGAUGUAUUAGAAUAAUUGAUUAUGCUUAUGUUGUAUUAAUAGAAGGGGAGGGGUUAUGGGACCUUUUCUUUGAUGCAGAACUUACUCGGAAACAUGCGUGCUAUGUUCCUGAUUGUCAACUUCUGUCUGCAAUUGCAUUAAUAAAGGUUUUUGAAUGAUU